GACUGCCAGUGAUAAACUGGAGGAAGGUGGGGAUGACGUCAAGUCAUCAUGGCCCUUACGACCAGGGCUACACACGUGCUACAAUGGCGCAUACAAAGAGAAGCGACCUCGCGAGAGCAAGCGGACCUCAUAAAGUGCGUCGUAGUCCGGAUUGGAGUCUGCAACUCGACUCCAUGAAGUCGGAAUCGCUAGUAAUCGUGGAUCAGAAUGCCACGGUGAAUACGUUCCCGGGCCUUGUACACACCGCCCGUCACACCAUGGGAGUGGGUUGCAAAAGAAGUAGGUAGCUUAACCUUCGGGAGGGCGCUUACCACUUUGUGAUUCAUGACUGGGGUGAAGUCGUAACAAGGUAACCGUAGGGGAACCUGCGGUUGGAUCACCUCCUUACCUUAAAGAAGC
rnacentral:rRNA from 3 species